GAUGAACGCUGGCGGUAUGCUUAACACAUGCAAGUCGUACGAAGAUAAAAUUGUGCUUGCACGAUUUUAUACUUAGUGGCGGACGGGUGAGUAACACGUAAGAAUCUACCUUUUGGCGAGGGACAACCACUGGAAACGGUGGCUAAUACCUCAUAUAACUGAGAAGUGAAAGAUGAAAAUCACCAAGAGAUGAGCUUGCGUCUGAUUAGCUAGUUGGUAAGGUAAAGGCUUACCAAGGCGACGAUCAGUAGCUGGUCUGAGAGGAUGAUCAGCCACACUGGGACUGAGACACGGCCCAGACUCCUACGGGAGGCAGCAGUGAGGAAUUUUCCGCAAUGGGCGAAAGCCUGACGGAGCAAUACCGCGUGAAGGAUGACGGCCCGCGGGUUGUAAACUUCUUUUCUCGAAGAAGAAACAAAUGACGGUAUUCGAGGAAUAAGCAUCGGCUAACUCCGUG
rnacentral:rRNA from 1 species